GAAAUGUAAACCUAGGAAUUAAUCACAGUAUUGGUGGACUUCUAGAAGUAUGCUUCUUUUUGCGAGCGAGACUUGGCUGAUCGUGACCGGCAACCGGUGACUCUCUCCCUCUUUCUAGUUGUCACGUCGUUGCCGACGGGUCGAGUUCUUUCUGCCCGCACGUUUCCCACGCCGCCCCCCCGACCACCUUCUCCCCUUCCUACCUCCACUUCGCGUCUUCAACACACCUCUCACGAAAGAUUUAGCUUACCUCUGCCUGUUUCCUUCCUUCUCUAUCCUUUGCGGGUGCAUGGAUUGGAUUCCGGAGGAGGAUGAAUCCUCUGAAGGAAUCUCGGAGGGAAGUGGAGACUCCGACGCCGAUGCGAUCGCGAUGGCGCCUUCAGAAACCAUGGCGUACGACAGCGACGACGCGGAGUCCUGCUGCGGCGACGGUGACGAUGAAGGCGGUGCUGCCGUAGGUAAAGGCGAGGUGGAAGAAAGGUGCGUGUCGUGGAGAUGCUGGCUGGUGGAGCGCGCGCCCGAGUACGAGGUGGGGAAGGUGGACGACCGACGAGGAGCGAACGAGCCGGCUGCGGCGGCGUCGGACGCGGAGAGCGCUAGGCUGUUCUGGGAGGCCUGCCUUGCCCAUGGCUACCCAUGACUCCUGAGUUCCCGACGUCUCUCUCUCUCUACUCACCAUGACCCCCUGUCUUAUUCGUUCUCUUUGUUCUUUCAUCAUUGAGAUUCUUUGUCAAAGCAAAAGGAAGAAGAAAACACAUUUCUGCAACUCUGCCUCUCAAUUCUGCAACAGUCUUGUGUUUUA